UACGUAGGUGGCAAGCGUUGUCCGGAUUUACUGGGCGUAAAGAGCGCGCAGGCGGUCGAUCAAGUCGCGUGUGAAAGCCCCCCGGCUCAACUGGGGGAGGGCCACGCGAUACUGAUCGACUCGAAGGCAGGAGAGGGUAGUGGAAUUCCAGGUGUAGCGGUGAAAAUGCGUAGAUAUCUGGAGGAACACCGGUGGCGAAGGCGGCAUCCUGGACCGGCAUUGACGCUGAGGCGCGAAAAGCUAGGGGGAGCAAACGGG
rnacentral:rRNA from 1 species